GUGGGGAAUAUUGGACAAUGGGCGAAAGCCUGAUCCAGCCAUGCCGCGUGUGUGAAGAAGGUCUUCGGAUUGUAAAGCACUUUAAGUUGGGAGGAAGGGCAGUAAGUUAAUACCUUGCUGUUUUGACGUUACCGACAGAAUAAGCACCGGCUAACUUCGUGCCAGCAGCCGCGGUAAUACGAAGGGUGCAAGCGUUAAUCGGAAUUACUGGGCGUAAAGCGCGCGUAGGUGGUUUUGUAAGUUGGAGGUGAAAUCCCCGGGCUCAACCUGGGAACUGCCUCCAAAACUGCAUGACUAGAGUACGGUAGAGGGUGGUGGAAUUUCAGGUGUAGCGGUGAAAUGCGUAGAGAUCUGAAGGAACAUCAGUGGCGAAGGCGACUACCUGGACUGAUACUGACACUGAGGUGCGAAAGCGUGGGGAGCAAACAGGAUUAGAAACCCGAGUAGUCC
rnacentral:rRNA from 1 species